rnacentral:lncRNA from 1 species
AUUUCUCCUUUUCUCCCUGGCUUUCCAGGUAAGCAGACGUGCCCACAGCGGAGCAGAACGGCAGUCGCUCACGCGCCUGACUUCUCCCCUCCUGUUCUGGCUCCUGGCCUCUCGUUCGCCUUGGCUUUUCUGCUCCGGAUGUCUUCCGCGUUCAGGCGUCCGUCUGUCUUUCUCUUCCCACGGGGCGACUUAAAAUUUGCGCUUGCCUGCGAUUAUCCAAAAAAACGGCAGACACGACAGCGGAGAAAAGCGGCUUCGUGUGCCUCCUGGCAACGACGUGCCUCGGCCGCUGGCUUUUGUGCGACGGCGCCGUCCCUUUCCUGUCUGUGCAGAUGCAUGUCCGCGCAAGUAUAAACGUCCCAACCCUUCUUAAAUAUAUCUACGUGCACCUGUGAAAUCAUACAUACAUACACUGCAAACUCCAAAUUCAUCUAAGGACUCAAUACGAUCCGGGCGCCUCUGCUGGCGGCCGCCCCUAGACUUUGUUGAGGAGUCAGGUUGAUCUCUCUCUGUGACGUGCCCCGUACCUCGGAGAAUUCCUUUUGCUUUUCUUCAAAGGGAACACGCGGUCGCCCGCUUGAACAUAUUUCUCUCAACCAGAGGGAGACCGGGAAAGAAACGUGCACGCGGUCCAAGAUCAGCUGCGCCGCUCGUGUUGUUCGAAGUCGUCUUGGAAUGGCUCUGAGUCGCGUCCGAUGCUCAGUGUGACGAACGGUUGAGUUCGUUCCUGCUUCUGCUCAAGUCGCUGGGCUCACGGGAGGCACCGCAACGCAUGCGUCAAGAGUCGCUGUAGAGAAUGACUCUGGCAGGUUCCUGAAGAGCUUCGCUCUGGGGUGGCGUAGAAAACAUCCCGCCGACACCGAUAGCCGCAUGCCAAGGAGCGUAUACACCGCGCCCAGAUUCGAUUUCUUCGAUCUCUGUUAAUUUCGAUUGAGAUGUGCAUGCGCGCCAUUCUGGCUCACUGCUGCACUUUCUCGUUCGAAGGUUUGAACGUUUGUUUCCGUCGUCGUCUUCCUUCAUGUUGGACGGAGGCGUGUUGAUCGGCGCAGUGCUGGGUCUGUGCUUCGGAGUCGUCCUGGUCGUCUUGACCUUGUUCACGUGUGUGGGGCGCAUGCUGUGCGGCAUGUGUUUCUGCUGUCUGUGCUGGCCUUGCAGAUGCUUGUGUGGAAACAAAGACGAGGCAUGUGUGUGUGAACCGGUAGACCCAGUCGCCCGCUGCUGUCGAGGAAACCAGGACUCAGAGGAUGGAAGCAGUAUCGACGGACGGGGACCGGAUCUCGAGCCGGUGAUUCAGUCCUAAAUCUCUUCGGCCAUUUGUAGACGCGAGGGCGUGUACUGCCUUGCCUGAAUGCGCCGUGCACAUGCGCCUGUAUUUGCGUAUCAGCGUGUGGAUACGGGACUGAAAGUUUCAAAGUCGUCUUUCGGCACGUGGAGCCAUGUGGGCACUCCCGUGACUUUAGCCCAUUCCGUGCUGCGUUUACAGUGCGCGCAUAAAACGAGGGAACGGGCGAGGGCGCCGGCGGUUAGAAGCCGUUCUUCUCAGUUUUAUUGGUUUUCGGGCCCGACACAAGUGCAUUGCAAGAAUGAGGCAAUUGUAAGAAUGAGGGCAGUUGCCGGGGUGCCCCCGAGCGGCGCAGUGGGCGCACGCGGUGCAAAGCUGUCGGCGCAUCUUUCUCCAGAGGAAACUCGAGUAGCUAGACAGUCUUCGGUGGAAACGCCGAGCUGAGCGGUUCUGUCAGGACUGCGGCUCGACCACGCGGCAGAG